rnacentral:rRNA from 1 species
AUCUUGAACAAGGAAUAUCUAGUAAACGCAAGUCAUCAACUUGCAUUGAUUACGUCCCUGCCCUUUGUACACACCGCCCGUCGCUCCUACCGAUUGAAUAAUCAGAUGAACUGAGUGGAUGGGGCGUAGUCCUUUACGCCCCCAAAGCUCCGUGAAUCUUAUUAUUUAGAGGAAGGACAAGUCGUAACAAGGUUUCCGUAGGUGAACCUGCGGAAGGAUCAUUA